GUGAGUUAUCCUCACUAUACUAGGGGGUCUAAGGCACCAAGGCCGACCUAUUGGAUAUGCUAUCCUAGUAGUGUUAAAUGUUGAGUAUGAGUUAGUGUUGCAUGCUACUUGUUAUGCAAGUUAGGUAGACUUGUAGGACUACCUGUGAUGUUAUAUGAUUAUUGCAUACUCAGUAGUUACGUUAUAUGUUAUGUGGGUUGGGUUGAGGUUGUACUGCUCCAUGCGGUAGCCAACAAACCCUUGAGUAUUCCAGAUAUCAGCUGAGGGCCCGAUAGGCAUUCCAGAAUCAUAUUGAGGACUCGGGAGUAUGCUAGAUAUGAGCUGAGGGCCCGGUAGGCAUUUCGGACUCAUACUGAGGACUCGGGAGCAUUCCAGAUACGAGCUGAGGGUCCGGUAGGCAUUCCAAACUUGUACUGAGGGCUCGAUGGCAAUCCAGAUACGAGCUGAAGGCCUGGUAGGCAUUCUAGACUCGUACUUAGGGCUUGGUGGCAAUCCAGAUGUGAGCUGAGGGCUCGGUAGGCAUUCUAGACUAACACAGUGGGCCUAGGGGUAUUCCAGUCUGUAGAGUUGUGGACCCGUUACUUGCUGUUCUGUUUUAUUGAUAUGAUAUGCUAAUGUUGAUAUUGCUAUGUGGACUGUAUGUGUAUCGGUAUUUUGGGGGUAACUCACUAAGCUUUCGGGCCUACAGUUUCAGUUUAUUGUUUCAGGUACAUCAGAGGAUCGCGGCAAGGCGAAGGGGUGAUCAUACCGCUCCUCCUAUUAUAUUUAUGUUUCUGGGAAAAACUCUGAUAACUAAUAUUUUGAAAACAAGGUUGUAAUGUUUUUGAUGAACUUGAUAUGUAUAAAAAGUUUAAAUUCAUUUGAAAUUUUUGGGUGUGUCAAGUUGGUAUCAGAGCCUUGGUUUGAGUGAAUUGGAAGAACGUUCGUGUGAAUCCAGUCUCAAAUCAAGGUAAGAUUUUGAAAAUGGUUUUCAAAAUAAUUAAUUGAGGAUGCGAAGUGUACGAUCAGCCGGAGCCAUUAUGUGAUAUCAUAGAACAACAUGUUAGUACUAGACUAGCGAUCUUCAGGAAUUGCAUGGUGAAAUUGCUUGAUUACAUGAUGCCUGCUAGCCUAGGGUUUCUCUUAUGUGAAAUUGACAUCAUUACUGUAGUUAUCUAGUGUAGGCAUCAUGGUUAUACAUAACUAAGAUCUUAUAGCCUAAGAAUGUUUGAUUUGGCCUUAUGUUAUGUUCUUGUUUGAUUGGGAGCUUAGGGUAGGAUUGAAUAUUCGAAAGUCUAUAGGGUCCAAAGUUAUGUAUGGCUAGCUUACACUAGUGCUGCAAGGUUGGUGGAAGUUUUGCGGAUGGAUAGGUUGUUUGGGAGGUGGUCGCCUACUUCGAGGCACUUAGCCUUAUUCUAGGGGUGAAGUUUGAGUGCUCGAUGUGAUUAUGUGUGUCGUUAGGGCUUUGUGAUGAUACUUGGGACAAAUAUGGGUAGGUGUGGAAGGUAGUAUGGGCUCGUACUACUAAAAGCACAGGACCCAUACGCGUAACAAGGAAGUCACAAACCCUAGGGUUUUGUCGGGGGUUGGUCCCAGUUAUUUGUAUGGGUUACCUGAUGCCUGGUGUUAUGUUUCAGAAUGGUGAUAACCAAGCACUUUGUGACUGGAUCCGGUUCGGGAUUAGCAUCAGGAUCAGGAGAGGGCGGACAGGGGGAACUGACAGCACCCGAGACGAUCGGCCAGAUGAGAUGGAUGACAGUAUCCGAGCGAUCCUGCACGAUGAGGUUGUUGCGCUGUUCUGGGCCGAGUUGCCGGAGAUGUUCGGGUCGAUUAAGACCGCCAUGGUGGAGUAUUUUGAUUAGCACUACGCAACCCUCGCAGAGACAGCCGCCGCAGCACCUGCAUCAACUGUAUCUACGGCAGGGGGAGGAGUUGGUAGGGGUUUUCAGUACUGGUACUUCGACAACAUGAAACCCCCUACUUUUGAAGGGACACAGGAUCCCAUUAAGGCUAUGAGAUGGAUUUCAGAUGUGGAGGGGUGUUUCUUCACCUGCUCGUGUCCAACUGACCAAAAGGUCAGGUGUUCUCUGAACCUGCUUUGGUUCAGAGCGAAGGAUUGGCGGAGACUUGCGACUGGGGCUUAGACUGACGAUCAGAGGGUUGCUGUUACUUGGGAGUAGUUCAAGAAUAUGUUCCGCACUCGUUACAUUCCAAGAGUCGAGUGGGAACGAAUGGCACAAGAGUUUCUGAGUUUGAGGCAGGAUGGAUGUAACAACGCAAAUUUUCAAACAAAUUUUUCAUUUCAAAAAUAAAGUAUUUUCAUUCAAACUAAGCAUAAUUAUUCCAAGUGUUAUGUCAAAAUACAAUUCAUAGAAUUCCCAAGAUCUCAAAACAUCAAUCAGUGUGUACACAUCACGCCGGCGCCUUCCCACGGUCCUCGCUAGUACCUGAAACACAUACAUAACAACUGUAAGCAUAAAUGCUUAGUGAGUUCCCCAAUAUACAACUUACGCACAUACGCCUUUCCAGGCCCUGACCUUCCGGUCCAUAAGUCUCAGGGGACUUCCGUCCCUGCUGGGUAAACCUUCCGGUCCUACCCACGCCGACCUUCCGGUCCAUCACACAACAUAUUGCCUUCCGGCCCAUAACAUAUUGCCUUCCGGCCCAUAACAUAAUCGCCUUCCGGCCCAUAACAUAUAUAACAAACAGCUUACCAAAUAUAGCAUACAUAUCACAUAUCAUAUCUGACCUUCCGGUCAUACAGUCAAACCCUUCCGGGUACAGUAUAGUGAGAAGACUCACCUCGUGAAUGCUGAAAGCUAGCAAAUCCUGAAAUCACUCGUGCUCAAUCCGUCGAGCUACAACCUCCCUAUAGCAUCACAUAUAUCUCAUUAACACUUAUAUCUUCUAAGUGUGACUAUCCCUAAGAAGUCAGACUUAGGUCAACUCUGGUCAACGGUCAACGGUCAACUCGACCGGACUCGGCGAGUGCCAUGGCGACUCGGCGAGUCUAGACGUCCUCCAACUCUCUGAGAUUCCCUAUCUACUCGUCGAGUAUCCUCCUUGACCCGACGAGUUACUCCUGGAAGAAUCGCGGGGCCACCCCGACUCAACUCGCCGAGUCUGAAGAACAACUCGACGAGUCCCAGUUAAUCUUCAAGCUACUCGCCGAGUCUGUUCAUCGAACUCGGCGAGUCCAUGCCAUGCAACCGCUCAAACUGCAUCCUAAGGUCAGAACUGCUUCGACCAUUCCUAGGUCUGGCCUUCCUAGGCUGAUCCAUCACGUAAAGUCCUCAUUUCAGUGCUCAUGAUACACCAUAUGAUUCAUAAUUUACAUUUUGACCUAAGGCAUAAGGAUUCCAAUCCAAAACCUUCAUCAAUUCCCGAAAUGCACAGACAUGGGACAUUCUGGACCUCCAAAGGUCCCAAUACAGGGUUACAAUCGAUUAGGGGACUAGGGUAACAUUCAAUCUAUUCACAAAAGGGUUCCAUAAACCCUAAUUCCAUAAUCACAUCAACAUAGCAGAGUAUACUCGAAUUCUUACCUGGAUGAUGUAUUCUCUGUGUCCCCAAUCCUCAGAAUGUGACUCCCUUGCUGUUCCUUUAGCCAAUCCCUUCUCUUCCUUGCACAACAACUCUUCUAUAAUCAACAAUGGCCUAUAAUCCUUGCUCCAGAUGCACACAAUCGAUUUAGGGUUCUUCUCAGAAGGCUAAAAUGAACAAUGACGGCCAAUAAGUCUCCUUUAUACGUCCCAAACCUGAACGGUUAGGGUUUUCGCUAAACAGCGUAGACUCGCCGAGUCCAUAUCUGGACUCGUCGAGUCCAGUCGCGAACCCGCGACCAAGUCUGCGAUCCUACUCGGCGAGUCUAGGCUCCAACUCGCCGAGUCCCCUCUUAAAUCACCCCAAAAACAUAAUUUAACAAUACCUGAGAUUCCGGGCUGUUACAACUCUCCCCCACUAGGAUUAGACUUCGCCCUCGAAGUCUCACUCUGAAAAUAGUUCCGGAUGCUGCUCCCGCAUCUCACGUUCCGGCUCCCAAGUCAUUUCCGAUCCCUUACGGUGUUGCCACUGAACCAACACCAGAGGUACCUCCUUGUUCCUCAGAACCUUGAUCUUCCGAUCCCUGAUGGCCACUGGUCUCUCAGCAUAAUUCAGGCUCGCAUCCACCUGAAUAUCCUCCAAUGGAACCACUGCCGACUCAUCGGCUAUGCACUUCCUCAAUUGCGACACAUGAAAAGUGUCGUGGAUCUGUCCCAACUCCGCUGGCAACUCCAACCGAUAGGCUACCCGGCCUAUCCUUGCAAUCACACGAAAUGGCCCAAUAUACCGGGGCCCCAACUUGCCCCUCUUCCUGAAUCGAAUCACUCCUUUCCAAGGAGAGACCUUCAGGAGAACGAAGUCGCCGACUUGAAACUCAAGCUCGGAUCGGCGCCUGUCUGCAUAACUCUUCUGUCGGCUCUGGGCGGUCAAUAACCUCUGUCUAACUUGCUGAAUCUGCUCUGUCGUCUGAAGCACGAUCUCUGUGCUGCCCAUCACUCUCUGUCCCACCUCUCCCCAGCAAAUGGGGGUCCGACACCUCCUACCAUACAACAGCUCAAAAGGUGGCAUACCAAUGCUCGAAUGAUGGCUGUUGUUGUAGGAAAACUCUGCCAAGGGUAAAUAUGCAUCCCAGCUACCCCCGAAGUCUAACACACACGCUCGAAGCAUGUCCUCCAGCGUCUGAAUCGUCCGCUCGCUCUGACCGUCUGUCUGGGGAUGGUAUGCGGUACUAAAAUGCAAUUUAGUACCCAGCUCCUCAUGGAAUUUCUUCCAGAACCUGGAAGUGAAGCGCACAUCACGGUCUGAAACAAUCGAGAUCGGCACCCCAUGCCGAGAUACCACUUCUCUCACAUAUAUCUCCGCCAACUUCUCCGCUGAAGAACUCUCGCUGAUGGCAAGGAAGUGUGCACUCUUCGUCAACCUAUCCACAAUCACCCAAAUUGCAUCAACUCCCCUGGCAGUCCUCGGCAAUUUGGUGAUGAAAUCCAUAGUGAUCUGUUCCCACUUCCACUCGGGGAUCUCCAAUGGCUGUAACUUGCCAUGCGGUCUCUGGUGCUCGGCCUUAACCCUACGGCAGGUCAAGCACCUCUCAACGAACCAUGCAACGUCCCUCUUCAUACAGGGCCACCAAUACUCUUUCCUCAAAUCCAAAUACAUCUUCGUAGCACCGGGAUGGAUCGAGAAUUUCGAUCUAUGAGCCUCUUCCAUCAAAGUAAUACGCGUACCGCCCACGAACGGUACCCAAAUCCGACCCUGAAACGUCAUAAGCCCUCGUCCAUCCUUAACGAACUCUGAAAUUAACCCAACGACCCGCUCUUUCUUCUGCAUCUCUGGUCGCACAGCCUCGGCCUGUGCCCCACGAAUAGCAUCCAAUACUGGAGUCAUCACAGUCAGUCUCAAGCAUACAUCUCGCAAUGGAGUGCUCUCCGCCCUGCGGCUCAAUGCAUCGGCUACCACAUUAGCCUUGCCUGGGUGGUACAGGAUCUCACAAUCAUAAUCCUUGACCACAUCCAACCACCUCCUCUGACGCAUAUUUAGGUUGGGCUGAUCCAUCAAAUACUUCAAGCUCUUAUGGUCCGUGUAUAUCGUACAUCGAACCCCAUACAGGUAGUGACGCCAAAUCUUGAGAGCGAACACUACUGCCCCCAACUCUAAAUCAUGCGUGGGAUAUCUCGCCUCAUGAGGCUUCAGCUGCCUCGACGCAUAAGCUAUCACAUGACCCCUCUGCAUCAACACUGCACCCAGUCCCGAAAUCGAUGCGUCGCAAUAUACUACAAAAUCUUCCAUCCCUUCCGGGAGAGCUAAUACCGGGGCUUCGCACAACCUCUGGCGAAGUGUCUCAAAGGAGGUCUGCUGCUCGGGCCCCCAUGAGAAUGCAACACCCUUCCGGGUCAAUCUGGUGAGCGGCACUGCGAUCUUGGAGAAAUCCUUAAUGAAUCUCCGAUAAUACCCUGCCAACCCAAGGAAGCUCCUGAUCUCAGAGGGUGACUUCGGCACCUCCCAACUCAUCACCGCCUCAACCUUGGCCGGAUCGACCAAUAUCCCUUUCUGAUUAACAACAUGUCCUAGAAAUUGGACCUCCCGCAACCAGAAGUCACAUUUGGAGAACUUUGCAUAAAGCUUCUCCGACCUCAAUACCUCAAGGACCUCCCUCAAAUGCUCCUCAUGCUGCUCUCUAGAUCUCGAAUACACCAGAAUGUCGUCGAUAAAUACAAUCACUGACCGAUCCAACAUCGGCCUGCAUACCCUGUUCAUGAGAUCCAUGAACACAGCCGGGGCAUUGGUGAGCCCGAAAGGCAUCACCACAAACUCAUAAUGCCCAUAUCGCGUCCUAAACGCUGUCUUCUGGACGUCCUCAUCCCGCACUCUCACCUGAUGGUACCCUGACCUCAGAUCGAUCUUGGAAAACCAAGAUGCUCCCUGCAACUGAUCGAAUAAAUCAUCGAUCCUCGGUAACGGGUAACGGUUCUUGACCGUCAACUUGUUCAACUCCCGGUAAUCAAUGCACAUCCGGUGUGAACCAUCCUUCUUCUUGACGAACAGAAUAGGUGCUCCCCACGGCGAGCUGCUCGGCCGAAUGAAUCCCUUCCCCAGCAACUCCUGGAGCUGCGAGGACAACUCUUGCAUCUCUGGAGGUGCAAGACGAUAAGGCACCUUAGCAAUAGGCGCGGCCCCCGGAACCAGAUCGAUACCAAACUCUACUUGCCUCACAGGAGGUACUCCCGGCAGCUCCUCGGGGAAAACAUCUGGAAACUCACGCACCACUGGGACCUCCUCAACUGACCUCGGUCUCUCGGAAACCUCCCGCGUAUCCAUCACAUACGCCACAAAACCCUUACAGCCCUGCUGUAGACACUGCCUCGCCCUAGCGGCCGAACAAAAAGCUGAUCCCGAACGGGUACCCUCGCCGUACACCGAAAGAACUCCCCCACUAUGGUCUCGUAUAGUCACCAGCUGACGCUCACAGUCGAUGACAGCGCCGAAUCGGCUCAACCAGUCCAUGCCCACGAUGACACAGACAUCACCCAUCGCAAUAGGAAUCAGGUCAAUCGGGAAUUCAACCCCGAAAAUCUCUAGUACACAUCCCCGAAGAACCUCCGUGGCACAAAUCACUUUCUCGUCAGCUAUAGAAACUCUCAAAGGUCGACUCAACGACUCACGACUAACGCUGAUAUGCUGACUAAAGGCUAAGGACACAAAGGACCUACUCGCACCCGAGUCAAAUAACACUAAGGCAGGCACAGAGUUCACAAGGAAAGUACCUACGCAUAUAAUAACAUAAGCAUAACAUCUCGACAUUAAAAUAAAUACAUGAAUUACAACAUACCUGCCACGACAUCGGGCGCAGCGCGGACCUCCUCCGCAGUCAGCUGAAAGGCUCUCCCACGAGCCCUCGGGGCCUCGACCUUCACCGGUCGAGUCUCAGUAGUCCUGGCAGUAGGUGCAGAUCCCUGACGAAGCUGAGGGCACUCGGCCUUCCGAUGGCCGGUCUGGUUGCAAUGAAAGCAAACCGUAAAUCCCUUGGGACACUCCCUAGCAAUGUGCCCCUCCUUGCCACACUUGUAGCAAGCACCAGAUCGACACGCCCCCUCAUGACCCUUGCCGCACUUUCCGCAAGUGCGGCCCUUCGAACCUCCUUUGCUCGCAUCGGCGGACUUUAUCCGCUUGGCUGCCGGCUGGAACUGAGCCGGUCGCCGGUCCACCCGCUGAGACUCGGCCUCCUCCCUGGCCUGGGUCUCCAACUCGAUCUCGCGCUUCCUGGCAUUCGCCUGAAGCUCAGCAAAAGUAUGGUAGGUGGAGUUCGACACAAACUCCCGGAUAUCCCUCCUCAACACUCCCAAGUACCGGCUCAUCCGAGCCUGAUCAGUGGACACCAGCUCGGGGCAGAACAUCGCCCUCUCAUGAAACUUCCGCGUGAUCACCGCAACAGAAUCAGUACCCUGCUUGAGGGUUAAGAACUCCUGAACCAAUCGUUCCCUCUCCACCGGGGGAACGUACUCAUCCCUGAACAUGGCAGUAAACCCCUCCCAUGUCACUGCUGUAGUCUCUGCCAAAGUGAAGUUCGCCGUCACGAACUUCCACCAGUCCUUCGCUCCCAGACGGAGCUGGUUCAAAGCGAACCGUACCCUCAGGUGCUCCGGGCAUGAACAAGUGUAGAAGCACCCCUCUAUAUCCGCGAUCCACCUCAUCGCAGCAAUCGGAUCCUGCGUCCCAUCGAACUCUGGUGGCUUCGUGUUGCUGAACUCUCGGAACAGCAACGAGUCACCCCCCUGUGGCCUAGCAGCGGCCACAGCUGCGGUAGCUGCAGCGGUUGCAGCCUCAGUCAAUGCGGCGUACCGCUCAUCGAACGUCUCCAUCAGGGUGGUCUUAAUAGACCCAAACAUCUCCGGGAUCUCAGCCCGGAUCGCCGCAGCUACCUCCUCGUGAAUCAUCUGACGAAUCUCCUCGUCACUCACACCGCUCGAACUCGCUCCGUGGCGUGGUCUAACCAUGAUGUCUCUGAAAUACAACAUAAAACUAUCAGAGACUCCAUCGAGUAUAAUCGUACUCGAUAACGCAACCCUACUCAGUCUCCGAUAUCCAGGGAUUCUUACUUGGGUCUCCCACUGACCCGGUGUCUUCGGUAGUACGGGCCCAAUACUACCGACCACACCGCAUCAGCAUUCAUCCCAAGUCUUCCUCCCCAAACCCCGGAUAGUGAGUACUCUACUUCUGAUAUGCACUAUCUACCCGCACACUAGCAAAGCAUCUCAUAUCGGCAAACUUCCCUAGACUAAGGCAUCACAAAUCAGGCCACUCUAGUCCUAUCAUGAAUACCUAGUCUUCUAGCAUGCAUAACAAUUUAUAUCAUAUAAUAUUGUAAGGUAUUUUGGGGAUCUUUACCGUUCGGGCGCUGACUGAUCGUACACACUGCUUCUUUCUUGCUUACCACAAAACCAUUUACAAAAGUUUAUGCCUUUAUUUAAAAAGUUUCCCCCAAAUCCUCGGUUUGAGUUCAGUUACUCCCGAAGGUGCACCCGAAUCCCUCAAACCAAGGCUCUGAUACCAAUUGUAACAACGCAAAUUUUCAAACAAAUUUUUCAUUUUAAAAAUAAAGUAUUUCCAUUCAAAACAAGGCAUAAAUAAUUUAAGUGUCAUGUCAAAUACAAAUUGUCUAAAUCCCAAGAUCAUAAAAACAUUCUUCAGUGUGUACCGAUCACGCCGGCGCCUUCCCACGGUCCUCGCUAGUACCUGAAACACAUACAUAACAACUGUAAGCAUAAAUGCUUAGUGAGUUCCCCAAUAUACAACUUACGCACAUACGCCUUUCCAGGCCCUGACCUUCCGGUCCUCAACACAACGCCUUCCGGCCCAUAACAUAAUCGCCUUCCGGCCCAUAACAUAUUGCCUUCCGGCCCACAUAACAUACAUAGCACAUAUAACAAAUAACUUACCACAUAUAGCAUACAUAUCACAUAUCAUAUCUGACCUUCCGGUCACACAGUCAAACCCUUCCGGGUACAGUAUAGUGAGAAGACUCACCUCGUGAAUACUGAAAGCUAGCAAAUCCUGAAAUCACUCGUGCUCGAUCCGCCGAGCUACAAACUCCCUAUAACAUCAUAUAUCUCUUAUUAACACUUUUAUCUUCUAAGUUAACUGACCCUAAGAAGUCACACAUAGGUCAACUCUGGUCAACGGUCAACGGUCAACUCGACCGGACUCGGCGAGUGCCAUGGCGACUCGGCGAGUCUAGACGUCCUCCAAUUCUCUAAGAUUCCCCUUCUACUCGUCGAGUAUCCUCCUUGACCCGACGAGUUACUCCUGGAAGAAUCGCGGGGCCACCCCGACUCAACUCGCCGAGUCUGAAGAACAACUCGACGAGUCCCAGUUAUUCUUCAAGCUACUCGCCGAGUCUGUUCAUCGGACUCGGCGAGUCCAUGCCAUGCAACCGCUCAAACUGCUUCCUAAGGUCAGAACUGCUCCGACCAUUCAUAGGUCUGGCCUUCCUAGACUGGUCCAUCACGUAAGGUCCUCAUUUCGGUGCUCAUGAUACACCCCAAGACUUAUAAUUUACAUAUUGACCUAAGGCAUAAGGAUUCCAAUCCAAAACCUUCAUCAAUUCCCGAAAUGCACAGGCAUGGGACAUUCUGGACCUCCAAAGGUCCCAAUACGGGGUUACAAUCGUUUGGGGGACUAGGGUAACAUUCAAUCUAGCCACAAAAGGGUUCCAUAAACCCUAAUUCUCUAAACACAUCACCAUAGCAGAGUAUACUCGAAUUCUUACCUGGAUGAUGUACUCUCUGUGUCCCCAAUCCUCAGAACGUGACUCCCUUGCUGUUCCUUUAGCCAAGCCCUUCUCUUCCUUGCACAACAACUCCUUCAAAAUCACCAAUGGCCUUUAACCUUGCUCCAGAUGCACACAAUCGAUUUAGGGUUCCUCUCAGAAGGCUAAAAUGAACAAUGACGGCCAAUAAGUCCCUUUUAUACGUCCCAAACCUGAACGGUUAGGGUUUUCGCUAAACAGCGCAGACUCGCCGAGUCCAUAUCUGGACUCGUCGAGUCCAGUCGCGAACCCGCGACCAGGUCUGCGAUCCUACUCGGCGAGUCUAGGCUCCAACUCGCCGAGUCCCCUCUUAAAACAACCCAAAAACAUAAUUUUAACAAUACCUGAGAUUCUGGGCUGUUACAAUGGAGAGUCGGUGACGGAGAUCACCUUUAUGUUCACUGAGCGGGCAAUGUUCUGCCUAGAUUUUGCUUCCAAGCAAUCUUAGAUGACCCAUUAUUUGAGUAUGCUUAAGACUGAUAUCCGUCAGUUUGUAGCUACCCAGCAGUGUGAUACUCUUCUGGAGUUGCAGGAUGUCUCCAGACGGCGAGAGUUAGAGAUUGAGCUGCAGCUAAGGGAGCAGCGGCCGGCCUCGGUACUGUCACAGCCGGCACCGAAGCGGCCUAAGACCGUUGAUGCUAGGACCGGGGGUCAGUAGGGCCGCACUUGUGGGAAGUGUGGCAAGGGACAUUCUGGUGUAUGUCGUGCUGGUAGUGGGUGCCAGAAGUGUGGCAAGGAGGAGCAUUACGCGAAGGAUUGUCGCCAGGCUGCCCCAGUCCGUGGUAUGAGGCUAUGUUAUCACUGCAACCAGGUCAGCCACAUGAAGGCCAACUUCCCACUACUUGUCGCCAAGUCGGUGCAGGCUGCAGCACCGGCUACCUUGAGGACCACAGAUAGGAGACCAGUCAGGGUAGAGCCUCCAAAGGCUUAGGGUUGUGUUUCCAGCUUACGGCGGAGGAGGCCAGAGCAGCACUAGAUGUGGUUGCUGGUAUGUUUCUAUCCUCAUCUUGUUUUAUUUAUCUGUUAUAUGCUUAUCUGUUGUACCUGUGAUUAGGUACGUCUUUGGUGAACUCUUUUCCCACUUUGGUCUUAUUUAACUCGGGGGCGAGUCGAUUUUUCGUGUCACAGUCUUUUAGUAGGGAGUUCCGGCGAGUUGGAGUGUCCGUUACGAUUAUCUAUCGCCAAUGAACAUGGGGUUUCCGCUUCUUCAGUUUAUCGAGGAUGUGACUUGGAGAUUUUCGGGGUGUCUUUCCCGAUAGACUUAAUCCCGAUUCUCAUGGGGGAGGUGUGCGUGAUUGUGGCCAUGGAUUGGCUCAGUAAGUUCGGUGCUAUGAUUGAUUGCGAGGGCCAGCGAGUGGUAAUUCGAACCCCAAGUGGGGGAGAACUGAUUAUAUAUGGGGAGGGAACCAGAGUAGGCUCAGGUUUUUUUUCAGCUGCCAAAGCUCGGCAUUACAUUCAGCAUGGGUGUACGAGUUAUCAAGCGUACGUGGUAGAUAUGCGAGUCGGGGACCAGAAAUUGGUUUCCGAUGUACCAGUGGUCAGGGAAUUUGCAGAUUUGUUUCCGAAGGAGUUGCCAGGGAUACCUCCGGAGAGGCAGGUCGAGUUCAGGAUCGACCUGGUGCCAGGUGCGGCCCUUAUCAGUAAGGCGCUGUACCAGUUAGCGCCACCAGAGAUGCAGGAGCUGUCAUCACAACUACAGGAACUGUUGGGCAAACAGUUCAUCCGACCUAGCAGAUCUCCAUGGGGAGCGCCGAUUCUCUUUGUCCGGAAGAAGGACGGUUCGCACCGGAUGUGAAUGGAUUACCGAGAGUUGAACAAGCUAAUAGAAAAAAACCGUUACCCACUCCCAAGGAUAGAUGAUCUCUUCGAUCAGUUGCAGGGCGCAUCUUGGUUUUCCAAGAUAGAUUUGAUAUAUGGGUAUCACCAGGUCAGGGUCCGAGAGGAAGACGUGGAGAAAACCGCAUUCCGAACUCGUUAUGAACAUUAUGAGUUCGUGGUGAUGCCGUUUGGACACACCAACAUGCCAGCAGUAUUUAUGGAUCUGAUGAAUUGGGUCUGCAGACUGAUGCUUGACCGCUCUGUCAUAGUGUUUGUAGAUGAUAUUUUUGUGUAUUCCAAGACCCGAGAGUAGCAUGAGGAGCAUUUACGAGAGCUGCUGGGAGUUUUGAGGCAGGAACGGCUGUAUGCCAAGUUCUCGAAGUGUGAGUUUUGGUUACGAGAGGUCUAGUUCCUCGGGCAUCUCGUUAACAAGGAAGGGAUUUUGGUCGAUCUGGCCAAGAUCGAGGCGGUUAUGCAGUGGGAGGUUCUGAAGUCUCCCACAUAUAAUAGGAGCUUUCUGGGAUUAGCAGGAUACUACCGGAGAUUCAUCCGGGAUUUCUCCAAGAUUGCAGUACCCCUCACUCAUCUGACAAGGAAAGGGGUGGAUUUUCCGGUGGGGCCCCGAGCAGCAGAGGGCGUUUGAGACCCUCCAUCAACGUUUGUGUGAGGCACCAGUCUUGACACUCCCGGAGGGGGUUGAAGAUUUUGUGGUAUUCUGUGAUGCAUCUAUCAUAGGUCUAGGGGCGAUCCUCAUGCAGAGAGGAUGAGUGAUAGCCUACGCAUCGCGGCAGCUGAAGCCGCAUGAGACGAGAUACCCUACGCAUGACCUGGAGCUGGGGGCGGUGGUGAUCACCCUCAAGAUAUGGAGACAUUACCUUUAUGGGGUCCGAUGUACCAUUUAUACGGAUCACAAGAGCUUGAGACAUAUCAUGGAUCAGCCGAACCUGAACAUGAGGCAGCGCAGGUGGCUGGACGUAGUCAAGGACUACGAUUGUGAGAUCCUUUACCACCCUGGUAAAGCGAAUGUGGUUGCGGAUGCUUUGAGCCGCAAGUCGGCUGGGUCUUCCACCCCCGCAACAUGUAUGAGGAUUGCAGUGGAUUCCCCGCUUAUGAGUUUGAUCAGAGAUACCCAGAUAGAGGGCAUGCGCUCAGAAAAUUUAAAGCUGGAAAGGAUCAAGGGUGAGAACACCAGGUUCGUGCAGGACAGUCGGGGAUUACUGAACCGAUGUGGUCAGGUUUGGGUCCCGAUGUCUGGAGGGGUUAGGUAGAUGGUUAUGGAGGAGGCCCAUAAGUCUCACUUCUCUAUUCACCCGGGGGCCACCAAGAUGUACCAGGAUUUUAGUUUGAACUAUUGGUGGCCGUGUAUGAAGCGCGAAAUUGCUUGGUACGUCGAGAGGUGCUUGACCUGUAGGAUGGUCAAGGUCGAGCAUCAGUGGCCGCAUGGCAAGCUGCAGCCCCUGAAGAUUCCCAUGUGGAAAUGGGAGCAGAUCACGAUGGACUUUAAUCAUAAAGCAGCCAAAGACAGCGAAGGGGUUUGAUGCCAUUUGGGUCAUCGUGGAUCGAUUGACCAAGAGUGCCCAUUUCUUGGCCAUACAGGAGAGUUCGUCGGCCGAGAAGCUGGCCAAGGUGCAUGUUCGCGAGAUCGUGUCUCGCCAUGGGAUUCCCGUUUCCAUUGUCUCUUAUCGGGAUGUCAGGUUUACCUCCCGCUUUUGGCAAAAGUUUCACGAGGAGCUGGGCACACGAUUGCAUUUCAGCACAACCUUCCACCCGCAGACAGACAGGCAGAGCGAGCGUACUAUUCAGACCCUCGAGGACAUGCUGAGGGCAUGUGUCAUCGACUUCGGUGGGAGUUGGGAUUCUCAACUACCGCUUGCAGAGUUCGCCUAUAACAAAAACUAUCAUUGUAGUCUUGGUUCCCUACCAUUCGAGCUUUUGUACGGGCGGAGGUUUCACUCCCUGGUUUGUUGGGGCGAGGUGGGUCACAGGGUGAUGGGUCGGACAGAGGUGGUCAUGCAGACUACAGAAAAGAUCUAGCAGAUCAGGCAGCGACUGCAGACAGCUCAGAGUCGGCAGAAAAGUUAUGCCGACCGACGCCGAUCUGAGCUGGAAUUUCAGGUGGGUGACAUGGUUCUUCUGAAGGUCUCACCCUUUAAGGGCGUGAUCCGCUUCAGGAAGAGGGGAAAAUUGGGUCCCCGUUACAUUGGACCGUUCAGGAUUAUUUCCAGGGUCGGCAGGGUGGCUUAUAGACUAAAACUUUCGGAGGAGCUUAGCCGGAUCCACAACACAUUUCAUGUCUCGCAAUUGUGGAAAUGUAUUACGGACCGGGAGGCAGUGGUAUCAUUGGAUGACAUUCAGGUCGAUGAGCCCCUGAACUAUGUGGAGGGGCCUGUGGCCAUUUUGGAAAGGAAGAAGAAGAUUCUGCGGAACAAGGAAAUACCUUUAGUGAAGAUACAGUGGGAACAUCGAAAGGGAUCCGAGUGGACAUGGGAACCGGAGGCGGAGAUGCGCUAGCAUUACCCGACAUUGUUUAUACCUGCGGACUUCGACGGUGAAGUCUAGUUCAAGUGGGGGAGAGUUGUAACACCCCAAAUUCUCAGGUAUUGUCUAAAUGCGAGUUUUAGGGUUAAGCCCUACUCGACGAGUCGGUGGAUUUGCUUGUCGAGUAGCGGUGGGAAGGAUCGUGAGUUAAGUGAACCACUCGACGAGUCCAUGUUUGGACUCGGCGAGUAGGAGCUGGCGGCUAAAACCCUAAAUCCUGGUGUGGUGCACCCUAUUUCAGGGAACAAAAGCCUCUUUCAGCCUCUUUGCAAUCUCUUAUCAAACCCUAAUACGUGUGUGUGCAUGUGUAUUGUGUGUUUGAAGCCUUGGAAGGGGAUUUUGGUGAAAAGAGCUUGGGAAGCAAGUGGUUUGAAGCAAGGAGCUUGGGGGAAAUCCAGAUCUACUUCAUUUGUCAUCUCUUGGGAAGGUAUCCAGCUAUUAUCCUCAUUUUAUUUCGUUCUAGACCUCCUUGGUUGGAGAUUAGGAUUCUUAGUUGGAUUAUAAAGUCAUUUUCUAGGGUAUAAGCCAAGAUCUGAAGUUGGAACUUCAGAUCUAAACUCUCUAAGGAUUAAGGGACCAUAAAGUUAUUCGUUUUGGUAAGUUUGAGUCCCUCCCUAUGUGUAAAAAAACCCAUUUCAAGCAUAGUUUGGGCUUUUUGAGACAUUGGCGCCUUGCAUGCACGUAAAGUUUGCAACUUUACGUGAUAAGCAGGCCUAAGGAGGUUGGAUCUAUAAUUUGGGGCCUUGCCAUGGCUUAAAAGUUGUGUGCAUGAUAAAAUGAAUAAAUGAACUCGGCGAGUCGCACAGUUGACUCGGCGAAUCACUUGAAGAUGGUCAUGAACUCGGCGAGUUGGAAGAAUAACUCGGCGAGUCCGUUGAAGAUUCCCAUAACACUCGACGAGUUGAAGAACAACUCAGCGAGUCGGAUGAGUUUUAACUAGGACACAUUUUCAUGUAUGUCCGUCGAGUUCAAGGAGGGAAGUCAACGAGUGGCCUUAAGGGUUGAUCGAAGAUUCGAAGGAACUCGACGAGUCACUCCGAUGACUCGACGAGUUGGAAUGUGCUCCAGAAAACUCGGCGAGUACCCAUGUGUACAAAGCGAGUUAAGGUCAACACAUACUAUUGACCUUGAUUGGGGACCUUGACUAUGACCAGGGAUUGACUAGUGGUUUAUGGAGCACCUUAUAAGGUGAAGGACUUAUGAGCAUGUCAUAUUAUGGUAAUAGGUGGUGGAGUCUUUGACAAGUGAUCGGAGAGCUUUGAUUAUUUACCGAGCUGACAUCUUCGAGGUGAGUUAUCCUCACUAUACUAAGGGGUCUAAGGCACCAAGGCCGACCCAUUGGAUAUGCUAUCCUAGUAGUGUUAAAUGUUGAGUAUGAGUUAGUGUUGCAUGCUAGUGGUUAUUCACUAUACUAAGGGGUCUAAGGCACCAAGGCCGACCCAUUGGAUAUGCUAUCCUAGUAGUGUUAAAUGUUGAGUAUGAGUUAGUGUUGCAUGCUAGUGGUUAUUCAAGUUAGGUAGACAUGUAGGACUACCUGUGAUGUUAUAUGAUUAUUGCAUGCUCAGUAGUUAUGUUAUAUGUUAUGUGGGUUGGGUUGAGGUUGUACUGCUCCAUGCGGUAGCCAACAAACCCUUGAGUAUUCCAGAUAUCAGAUGAGGGCCCGGUAGGCAUUCCAGAAUCAUACUGAGGACUCGGGAGUAUGCUAGAUAUGAGCUGAGGGCCCGGUAGGCAUUUCGGACUCAUACUGAGGACUCAGGAGCAUUCCAGAUACGAGCUGAGGGUCCGGUAGGCAUUCCAGACUUGUACUGAGGGCUCGAUGGCAAUCCAGAUACGAGCUGAAGGCCUGGUAGGCAUUCCAGACUCGUACUUAGGGCUUGGUGGCAAUCCAGAUGUGAGCUGAGGGCUCGGUAGGCAUUCCAGACUAACACAGUGGGCCCAGGGGUAUUCCAGUCUGUAGAGUUGUGGACCCGUUACUUGUUGUUCUGUUUUAUUGAUAUGAUAUGCUAAUGUUGAUAUUGCUAUGUGGACUGUAUGUGUAUCGGUAUUUUGGGGGUAACUCACUAAGCUUUCGGGCUUACAGUUUCAGUUUAUU
rnacentral:lncRNA from 1 species